rnacentral:rRNA from 1 species
UGCCAAUUCUUAUGUUUUGUACAAUAAGAGAUGAGGUGUAAAGGUGUUUCGUGUUUAGCAGAUGUACAGCUUAAUUAUUAUUGAGUGAGUGCUCAGAGAAGGUGAAAAGCCUGUAUAGUUGUGCUAGUCUGCUGAACUGUAACACUGAAGAGUCUAGUUGUUUGAGAGUACAACUUAAAGCUGGUGGUAAAUUUCAUCAAAGGCUAAAUAUAUGAGGGGACUAAUAGCGAACAAGUACCAUGAGGGAAAGUUGAAAAGAACUCUGACGAGAGAGUUCAAUAGUACGUGAAACCAUAUUGAGUAAAACAGAUAACUGUGCUGUUAUGCGGUGUGCCUAUCAACAGUUUAUUUGGUGUUGUGAUGCUUCGAGUGUAGGUUGUCUAUUCAGCUGAUUGUUCGAGGUUAGCAUUACCAGAGAUUCUGUGCAAUAGUGCGCACUCGAGCAUUGAGAAACUAUGCUGCUGCGGCAUCGGUGUACAGCAGUCCGUACUUAGUGCGAAGUUGUACGCUGGGUGCAGCUGGCUGGUGUAGUUUAGCUGUGUGACAGCUGUAGGCUGCGUUUAUGAUAGGUUCCUGCUGUAUCUGCGAAUCGGUUUAUUCCUUUUUGCGGCGAGUAUGGUAUUAUCAGUAAGCGGCCUGCCAUCAAUGUUUAGCAUUAGUUAUUUGACCCGUCUUGAAACACGGACCAAGGAGUUCAAAUGGCACGCGAGUCAUUGGGUUUUAAAACCCGAAGGCGAAGUGAAAUGCAAACGUAUUGUUAUUUGUGGUUGUUCCAUGAUUAAGCGAUAAGCUACUUAUGCUUUCCGGCAUUUGUAGACUACAAGCGUGAUGU